rnacentral:rRNA from 1 species
CAGUUCGGAUUGUAGUCUNCAACUCGACUACAUGAAGCUGGAAUCGCUAGUAAUCGCAGAUCAGAAUGCUGCGGUGAAUACGUUCCCGGGUCUUGUACACACCGCCCGUCACACCAUGGGAGUCGGAAAUGCCCGAAGCCGGUGACCAAACCAAUAAGGAAGGAGCCGUCGAAGGCAGGUCUGAUAACUGGGGUGAAGUCGUAACAAGGUACC